rnacentral:rRNA from 1 species
UCGCAUGGACGAAGUCUGACGGAGCACGCCGCGUGAGUGAUGAAGGUUUUCGGAUCGUAAAGCUCUGUUGUUAGGGAAGAACAAGUGCCGUUCAAAUAGGGCGGCACCUUGACGGUACCUAACCAGAAAGCCACGGCUAACUACGUGCCAGCAGCCGCGGUAAUACGUAGGUGGCAAGCGUUGUCCGGAAUUAUUGGGCGUAAAGGGCUCGCAGGCGGUUUCUUAAGUCUGAUGUGAAAGCCCCCGGCUCAACCGGGGAGGGUCAUUGGAAACUGGGGAACUUGAGUGCAGAAGAGGAGAGUGGAAUUCCACGUGUAGCGGUGAAAUGCGUAGAGAUGUGGAGGAACACCAGUGGCGAAGGCGACUCUCUGGUCUGUAACUGACGCUGAGGAGCGAAAGCGUGGGGAGCGAACAGGAUUAGAUACCCUGGUAGUCCACGCCGUAAACGAUGAGUGCUAAGUGUUAGGGGGUUUCCGCCCCUUAGUGCUGCAGCUAACGCAUUAAGCACUCCGCCUGGGGAGUACGGUCGCAAGACUGAAACUCAAAAGAAUUGACGGGGGCCCUCACAACCGGUGUACCAUGUGGUUUAAUUCGAAACAACGCGAAGAACCUUACCAGGUCUUGACAUCCUCUGACAAUCCUAGAGAUAGGACGUCCCCUUCUGGGGCAGAGUGACAGGUGGUGCAUGGUUGUCGUCAACUCCUGUCGUGAGAUGUUGGGCUAAAAUCCCGCAACGAGCGCAUCCCUUGAUCUUAGUUG